GCACUUUUCCUGGUAGAGUUGGUAGAACAUGGGAUUCUUGAUCUCAGGAUUGUGGGUUUGAGUCCCACGCUGGGUGCC